UUAUGGCACUAGCCUGGCUGUGGAGCAGCCCCUGUGCUUGCUGUAGCUCAUCCUUGGCUCUGAGUUCCUGAUUAUGGAGUUCUGUCUUUACUGUGUUCCACCUACAGAUGUGAAAAAGUUGUGGUAAUUUGGCGUUGCCUCCUGAGAGGAAAGCUUGGACCGACAAUCCAGGAGCUGUUGAAGUGACACACAAAAAUAGUCUGAAAAUACAUUUAUAAUGAAAAUACAUUUAUAAUGUACCAUCCUUUAAUAUCAGUAU